rnacentral:lncRNA from 1 species
UUAAUAGUAAACUUGAUAAUAACAAUUACAUCGCAAGCAGUUUCUUGAUAUUUAUCAGAAAGCUAUACCGCUUUUAAUUAUUCUACGAAGGUGCCAAUAUUAUGUACGUGGUAAUCAAUAACAUGGGUCAUAACGUAAUUGUAAAGGCAUAAAGUACUAAACAUCAAUAAGUUUUCACAUGCAUUACGAAUUGAACUUAACAUUUUUUAACAUUUUUCCCCAAUUUCAUUCCUUUAGUAUCUCAUAUCCAAACAUUUGUUAUCUUGACCAAGUGUAUAAACUCACUACUCACUAGCAAUAUGAUUGAUAUCAAGAAAACAAGGCAAACUCAAGUGAUGGGAUAUAAAAUUAUUAGUCAAUAAUUAGCUUUACCAUUUACUAUAACAAGAAUCAGUUGAACAGAUUUUGAAACCAAAGAUGAACGCGUAAGCAAAAGUAAAAAAUGCCAAUAAUGAGUUAUUUUAUCAUAAAUAACCUGAGACUAAUCACUGAUACCGGUGCCCACCUCAAAUGACAACCGUUCGAGGGCAAGGAAAGAUUCAACUAUAAUGCAAAACAGUAUAAAGAAAGAAAGAAAUAAAGGAUUAUACCAGAGUGAACUAAAGAAUAAAUCAGUGACCGUAAGUCUGCACUGCAUUUAACCUUCUCCUUAAAAGAUAACAGCAGAACCAGACUCGCCCAGGACUGGAUAUGGAGCAAAACCCUCGUGCAAAAAUAUAUUCACAGAAAGUACUACUCCUGCUCCAUAUCCAUCCCUGAACAAGUCCAUCCGCUGCUUUAAGCUUCAACUCGC